rnacentral:misc_RNA from 1 species
AAACCCUCAAGAGGGAAGCUUUUUGUGGCUUCUCUUUUGGAAUUGGAGUGUGCUGGCCUGUUCCUCAGGAAAAGCCCGGCUCCUCUGAAAUGCAUUAGCGAUGUGACAUCCUCGUGCCAUCACGCUUCUCCAGCAUUGAUAGUCUCUUUCAUGCUCGAGUGUGGUUGUGCAGCGGUGGAAAGUUUUGCUCGCUCACAGACCCCAUUGGGGAGGCUUUUGCCCCUCAUGCUUUGACCA